GAUGAACGCUGGCGGCGUGCCUAAUACAUGCAAGUCGAGCGAACGGACGAGAAGCUUGCUUCUCUGAUGUUAGCGGCGGACGGGUGAGUAACACGUGGAUAACCUACCUAUAAGACUGGGAUAACUUCGGGAAACCGGAGCUAAUACCGGAUAAUAUUUUGAACCGCAUGGUUCAAAAGUGAAAGACGGUCUUGCUGUCACUUAUAGAUGGAUCCGCGCUGCAUUAGCUAGUUGGUAAGGUAACGGCUUGCCAAGGCAACGAUGCAUAGCCGACCUGAGAGGGGGAGCGGCCCAACUGGAAAUGAGACCCGGUCCCGACUCCCACGGGAGGCAGCAGGGGGGAAUAUUUCCGAAAGGGGGGAAGCCUGACCGAGCCACACCGCGUGGGGGAAGAAGGGUUUCGGGUUGGAAAACCCUUUUUUUGGGAAAGAAAAGUAGGAGGAAAAAACUGUGCCGUUCUGACGGGACCCAAAGAAGAAGCCCCGGCUAACUUCGGG
rnacentral:rRNA from 1 species